rnacentral:rRNA from 2 species
GGAAGUAAAAGUCGUAACAAGGUCUCCGUAGGUGAACCUGCGGAGGGAUCAUUACUGAGUGAGGGCCUUCGGGCUCGACCUCCAACCCUUUGUGAACACAACUUGUUGCUUCGGGGGCGACCCUGCCGUUUCGACGGCGAGCGCCCCCGGAGGCCUUCAAACACUGCAUCUUUGCGUCGGAGUUUAAGUAAAUUAAACAAAACUUUCAACAACGGAUCUCUUGGUUCUGGCAUCGAUGAAGAACGCAGCGAAAUGCGAUAAGUAAUGUGAAUUGCAGAAUUCAGUGAAUCAUCGAAUCUUUGAACGCACAUUGCGCCCCUUGGUAUUCCGAGGGGCAUGCCUGUUCGAGCGUCAUUUCACCACUCAAGCCUCGCUUGGUAUUGGGCGCCGCGGUGUUCCGCGCGCCUCAAAGUCUCCGGCUGAGCUGUCCGUCUCUAAGCGUUGUGAUUUCAUUAAUCGCUUCGGAGCGCGGGCGGUCGCGGCCGUUAAAUCUUUUAUAAGGUUGACCUCGGAUCAGGUAGGGAUACCCGCUGAACUUAAGCAUAUCAAUAAGCGGAGGAG